rnacentral:rRNA from 1 species
GGUGAUAAGCUGGAGGAAGGUAAGGAUGACGUCAGGUCAUCAUGACCCUUAUGCCCUGGGCGACACACGUGCUGCAAUGGCCGAGACAAAGGGUCACAAUACCGCGAGGGUGAGCUAACCCCAAAAACUCGUCCUCUGUUUUGAUUGCAGGCUGCAGCUCGCCUUUAUGAAACCAGAAUUUUACACACCGACCGUCACACUAUGGGAGUUGGCCAUGCCCGAAGUCGUUACCUUAACAACAAGGAGGGGGAUGCAAAAGGCAAGGCUAGUGGCUGGAGUGAAGUCGUAACAAGGUAGUCGUACUAGAUGUGUGGCUAGAUCUCCUCCUUUUCAUGGAGAGCUAAUGCUUUUGGGUAUUUUACUUUGACACUGCUUCACACCCCAAAAAAAGAAGGGAGCUACGUCAGAGUUAAACUCGAAAUCGAAAUAGGAGCAGGUUUGAAAAAAGGAUCUUAGAGUGUCUAGGGUUGGGCCAGGAGGGUCUCUUGAUGCCUUCUUUUUUCUUCUCAUCAGAGUUAUUUCACAAAGACUUGUCAGGGUAAGGAAGAAGGAGGGAACAAGCACACUCUGAGAGAGCAGUACAACGGAGAGUUGUAUGCUGAGUUUAGUUAGGAUGAAUCACUCCCGAAAAGGAAUCUAUUGAUUCUCUCCCAAUCAGUUGGACAGUAGGUGUAAUGAUUUACUUCACGAGCGAGGUCUCUGGUUCAAGUCCAAGAUGGACCAGCUACGCCAGGGAAAAGAAUAGAAGAAGUAUCUGACUUCUUCAUGCAUGAUCCACUUGUCUCGAGGGGAUAUAGCUCAGUUGGUAGAGCUCCGCUCUUGCAAUGCGUUGAGGCGCAGUAGUUGACUGUACAUCUAGGGGUAAAGCACUGUUUCGGUGUGGGCGGCAAGCGCGGUACAAAAUCGAGGCAAACUCUGAAUACUAGAUAUGACCUCAAAAUAAAUAGGGGUCAAGUUUGGCUAGUGAGACAAUGGGGGAUAAGCUUCAUCGUCGAGAGGGAAACAGCCUAAAUAACCAGCUAAGGCCCCUAAAUGACCGCUCAGUGAUAAAGGAGGUAGGGGUGCAGAGAAAGCCAGGAGGUUCCUAGAAGCAGCCACCAUUGAAAGAGUGCGUAAUAGCUCACUGAUCGAGUGCUCUUGCAUCGAAGAAUAACGGGGCUAAGCGGUCUGCCGAAGCUGUGGUAUGUAAAAAUACAUCGGUAAGGGAGUGUUCCGCCUUAGAGAGAAGCCUGUGUGUGAGCGGUGGUGGAUGAAACAGAAGUGAAAAUGUUGGCUUGACUAACGCAAAAAUUGGUGAGAAUCCAAUGCCCCAAAAAACUAAGGGUUCCUCCGCAAGGUUCGUCCACAGAAGGUGAGUCAGGGCCUAAGAUAAGGCCGAAAGGCGUAGUUUAUGGACAACAGGUGAAUAUUCCUGUACUACUUCUUGUUAGUCCAAGGUACGGAGGAGGCUCGGUUAGCCGAAAGAUGGUUAUAGGUUCAAGAACGUAAGGUGUCCCUGCUUUUUCAGGGUAAGAAGGAGUAGAGAAAAUGCCUCGAGCCUAUGUUCGAAUACUAGGUGCUACGAUGUUGAAUUAACCCAUGGCAUACUCCCACGAAAUGCUCAAACGACGUUAAGCGAGGGUACCUGUACCCAAAACUGACACAGGUGGGUAGGUAGAGAAUCCCUAGGGGCUCGAGACAACACUCUCUAAGGAACUCGGCAAAAUAGCCCUGUAACUUCGGGAGAAGGGGUGCCUAUUCACAAAGGGUGUCGCAGUGACCAGGCUCGGGCGACUGUUUACCAAAAACACAGGUCUCCGAAAAGUCAUAAGACAAUGUACGGGGGUUGACGCCUGCCCACUGACGGAAGGUCAAGAAAGUUAGUGACCUGAUGACAUGGGAGCCAGCGAUUGAAGCCCUGGUGAACGACGGUCUUAACUAUUACGGUCCUAAGGUAGCGAAAUUCUUUUCAGGUAAGUUUUGACCCGCACGAAAGGCGUAACGAUCUGGGCACUGUAUCAGAGAAAGGCUCAGUGAAAUAGACAUGUCUGUGAAGAUGCGCACUACCUGCACCUGGAUAGAAAGACCCUAUGAAGCUUCACUGUUCCCUAGGAUUGGCUUUGGGCCUUUGCUGCGCAGCUUAGGUGGAAGGCAAAGAAGGCCUCCUUCCGGGGGGCCCGAGCCGUCAGUGAGAUACCACGCUGGAAGGGAUAGAAUUCUAACCUUGAAUCAGGACCUACGGGCCAAGGGACAGUCUCAGGUAGACUGUUUCUAUGGAGCGUAGGCCUCUCAAAAGGUAAUGGAGGUGUGCAAAGGUUUCCUCGAGUCGGAUGGAGAUUGGCCCUCGAGUGAAAAGGCAUAAGGGAGCUUGAAUUCAAGAUCUACCCAUCGAAUAGGGAUGAAAGUCGGCCCUAGUGAUCCAAUGGUACCGACUGGAAGGGCCAUCUCUCAACAGAUAAAAUUUACUCUAGGGAUAACAGGUUGAUCUUCCCCAAGAUCUCACAACGACGGGAAGGUUUGGCACCUCGAUGUCGGCUCUUCGCCACCUGGGGAUGUAGUAUGUUCCAAGGGUUGGGUUGUUCUCCCAUUAAAGCGGUAUGUGAUCUAGGUUCAGAAUGUUGUGAGACAGUUUGGUCCAUAUCUGGUGUGGGCUUUAGAGCAUUGAGAGGACCUUUCCCUAGUACGAGAGAAUCGGGAAGGACGCACCUCUGAUGUACCAGUAUCGUGCCCACGGUAAAUGCAGAGUAGCCAAAUGCGGAGCAGAUAACUGCUGAAAGUAUCUAAGUAGUAAGCCCACCCCAAGAUGAGUGAUCUCCUAUUCCGACUUCCCUCAAAGCUUCUGGUAGUACAACCGAGACAGCGACAUGUUCUCUGCCCCUGCGGGGAUAGAGCGACUGAAAUUUUUUUGAGAAUUCAAGAGAAGAUCACGGCGAGACAAGUCGUUUAUCAAUACGAUAGGUGUCAAGUGGAAGUGCAGUGAUGUAUGCAGCUGAGGCAUCCUAACAGACCGGUAGACUUGAACCU